rnacentral:rRNA from 1 species
GGAUUAACGCUGGCGGCGUGCAUAACACAUGCAAGUCGAACGAUGAAACUUAAAUGAUUUCUUCGGAAUGAACUUAAGUGGAUUAGUGGCGGACGGGUGAGUAACGCGUGAGUAACCUGCCUUACACAAGGGGAUAGCCGUUGGAAACGACGAAUAAUACCCUAUGAUGUUUCUAUCUCGCAUGAGAUAUUAACCAAAGUGUUAGCGGUGUAAGAUGGACUUGCGUCUGAUUAGCUAGUUGGUGAGAAAAAAGCCCACCAAGGCAACGAUCAGUAGCCGGCUUGAGAGAGUGUACGGCCACAUUGGGACUGAGACACGGCCCAGACUCCUACGGGAGGCAGCAGUGGGGAAUUUUGCACAAUGGGGGAAACCCUGAUGCAGCGACGCCGCGUGAUUUAGAAGGCCUUCGGGUUGUAAAAAUCUUUUGUAUAGGAAGAAAAUGACAGUACUAUACGAAUAAGGUCCGGCUAAUUACGUG